rnacentral:ribozyme from 12 species
AAGAAGGAAAGAAAGAAAGAAGGAAAGAAAGAAAGAAAGAAGCAGGAUAUCCUAUGUGUGCCUGUCCUCUUUAAUUUCUU